UCUUAUUCAUCUGGUCUUGCUUUUAUCUCCUGGUCUUGGGGGGAAAGGGGUGGAGAAUUCUUUCUCUCUGUGGUAUGGCAGGACUAAGCUUCUGCUUUCCCUUGGUCUGAUGAUUUUGCCUUUUUGUGGUGGCAUCCCUGCUAAUGCUGCAAAGCUUUCAGGUUAGAUGGAAUGAAAAGAGAAAAGACACCUACUGUGGGCUUCAAACUCUGCUUGAUGUGGACAGUGACAAAAACCAGGCAUCUUUUUAGCCAGUGUGGCAUGUGUGGGAAGGCUUUGGCUCGUAACAAUCAAUGUGUAUUUGUUGCAAAACCGUCAUGUCAAACAAAUCUAAUUUCUUCCUGUGAUGAGUUAACU